ACGACCAUCUCUACCACGUAAUAUUUGAAGAUAUACUGAUCUUACCAGAGUAUCAUUAACCUUUUCUUCAGUAAUUAGAGAAGGUUGAUAAGGAACUGGCCAGCGGUGAAUACUUCAUGAAAGAGAAAGAACGACAGCAGAGGAAAGAAGAAAAUAGAAAAAAACAACGUGUUGAAGCAUCAAAGAAGAGAAAGCUUGAGAGAGAAGAAAGUUUGAAGGCUCCAGCAGAAGAACCAGUUACAAAGAAACACAAGCCAGAGAAACAACCUGAAGUUGUGGUUGUUGAUGUGGAUAAAAUCAAAUCGCAAGUGAAAGAAAACGUUAAGAAGAAAAGAGUCCAUUUUAAACUUUAGAACUUGUGUGUGAAUCAAGUUAUUUUAACAAAAUAAUUACACACUGUA